UUAAAUGACAAGUCUAGAAAAAAAAUUUGUAAAACCCAAUUAAAGGCGGGCCUAUCAAAGAAUAACCCAUGUCUGUUUGACAGGAGGAAGAGCGGCCGGCCUAGGUUUUCUUUCUCGGUAUUACUUAAAAUUAGAAACAUAUUCAUCACGGCACCAAUCUAUCUUAUGUUGCAGUGAUUUCUACUCAACUUCCUCAUCACCAAACUUGGAAGGUAAUUUUUCAAUUGUGAGUUUAUUGAAGGAAAGAUGAAGAAAGGAAUCCAUCCUCAGAUGCAAUGGAUAUCCUAUGUGACCCAGAGUGGUCGAUUGAUGCCCGUUAUGAUGAGCAAAAUACACCAAGUUGGUAAAGUCUAUCAUUUCAGGGCUAAGCGGCAGAUGGCUCAAAGUAUUGGACAGAUUGCCAAAUUUAAGCGUCGUUAUGGACAGCAGCAGGAAGAGGAAACCCAGGACCAGGAGAAAUAAAUUCUUUUGAGGUGCAAAAUGAAUGGUACAUUGCUCUAUUAUAAUGUAUUAAGAUUCACCCACCAAGUUAACAAAUGGUGUUUCGUUCAGUUAAUACAGUUGCUGAGUUGCUCCUUGAUGCACAUUUGUUUUCUAUUCACUUUCCAGUUAGAAUUCCAGUUGCCUUACUUUUUUUAAUCCACAGGAUAUUAUACUAGUAUAUCUUUGUAGUGUUAAGUUGGAUGUUGGCUGAAUGAAUUUCUAUGAUGUUCACAAUCUGAAGAUGU